UACGGAGGGUGCGAGCGUUGUCCGGAAUCACUGGGCGUAAAGGGCGCGUAGGCGGCGCGGUAAGUCCGUGGUGAAAGCCCGAGGCUCAACUUCGGGCUUGCGGUCGAUACGGGCGGGCUAGAGUUCGGUAGGGGAGACUGGAAUUCCUGGUGUAGCGGUGAAAUGCGCAGAUAUCAGGAGGAACACCGGUGGCGAAGGCGGGUCUCUGGGCCGAUACUGACGCUGAGGAGCGAAAGCGUGGGGAGCGAACAGG
rnacentral:rRNA from 1 species